CGUCGUAUAGUAUAAAAGUAGUACAAAAGAUUGUAAAUUUUUAGGCGCGUAAAAAUGCUGCGAUGU
rnacentral:tRNA from 1 species